rnacentral:rRNA from 1 species
UGGGGAAUUUUGGACAAUGGGCGAAAGCCUGAUCCAGCAAUGCCGCAUGUGUGAAGAAGGCCUUCGGGUUGUAAAGCACUUUUGUCCGGAAAGAAAUCCUUGGCUCUAAUACAGUCGGGGGAUGACGGUACCGGAAGAAUAAGCACCGGCUAACUACGUGCCAGCAGCCGCGGUAAUACGUAGGGUGCAAGCGUUAAUCGGAAUUACUGGGCGUAAAGCGUGCGCAGGCGGUUUGCUAAGACCGAUGUGAAAUCCCCGGGCUCAACCUGGGAACUGCAUUGGUGACUGGCAGGCUAGAGUAUGGCAGAGGGGGGUAGAAUUCCACGUGUAGCAGUGAAAUGCGUAGAGAUGUGGAGGAAUACCGAUGGCGAAGGCAGCCCCCUGGGCCAAUACUGACGCUCAUGCACGAAAAGCGUGGGGAGCAAACAGGAUUAGAUACCCUGGUAGUCCACGCCCUAAAACGAUGUCAACUAGUUGUUGGGGAUUCAUUUCCUUAGUAACGUAGCUAACGCGUGAAGUUGACCGCCU